rnacentral:rRNA from 1 species
UUGUCUCAAAGAUUAAGCCAUGCAUGUCUCAGUACGAGCCGCAUUAAGGUGAAACCGCGAAAGGCUCAUUAAAUCAGUUAUGGUUCCUUAGAUCGUACCCACAUUUACUUGGAUAACUGUGGUAAUUCUAGAGCUAAUACAUGCAGACAGAGCUCCGACCGGAGACGGAAGGAGUGCUUUUAUUAGAACAAAACCAAUCGGCGGCGGGCGCGUUCGCGCGUUCGUUCGCCGCUCUACCUGGUGAAUCUGAAUAACUUUCAGCUGAUCGCACGGUCUCGCACCGGCGACGCAUCUUUCAAAUGUCUGCCUUAUCAACUGUCGAUGGUAGGUUCUGCGCCUACCAUGGUCGUAACGGGUAACGGGGAAUCAGGGUUCGAUUCCGGAGAGGGAGCCUGAGAAACGGCUACCACAUCCAAGGAAGGCAGCAGGCGCGCAAAUUACCCACUCCCGGCACGGGGAGGUAGUGACGAAAAAUAACGAUACGGGACUCAUCCGAGGCCCCGUAAUCGGAAUGAGUACACUUUAAAUCCUUUAACGAGGACCCAUUGGAGGGCAAGUCUGGUGCCAGCAGCCGCGGUAAUUCCAGCUCCAAUAGCGUA